rnacentral:rRNA from 1 species
CCUACGGGUGGCAGCAGUGGGGAAUAUUGCACAAUGGGGGAAACCCUGAUGCAGCGACGCCGCGUGAGUGAAGAAGUAAUUCGUUACGUAAAGCUCUAUCAGCAGGGAAGAAAUACUGACCUUACGGCCAGCAGACGGUAUCUGAGUAAGAAGCCCCGGCUAACUACGUGCCAGCAGCCGCGGUAAUAGGUAGGGGGCAAGCGUUAUCCGGAUUUACUGGGGGUAAAGGGGGCGUAGACGGUGCGCCAAGGCUGGAGUGAAAAGCCGCGGCUUAACUGCGGGACUGCUGUGGAAACUGGCGAACUAGAGUGCGGGAGGGGUAAGCGGAAUUCCUGGUGUAGCGGUGAAAUGCGUAGAUAUUAGGAGGAACACCGGUGGCGAAGGCAGCUUACUGGACCGUAACUGACGUUGAGGCUCGAAAGCGUGGGGAGCGAACAGGAUUAGAUACCCCAGUAGUC